UGUCAGAUUAUUGUAAACUACCAAAUUAACUGCUUGUUCCAGUAGAGAUCUUGUGACAGCUUUCAAGUUUCCCUUCAUUUCAAUAGCACUUCAGGACCACAGUGGUAAAGGUCUCGGCAACCCCAAAUUCUACUUAUCACAUAUCACCAAGAAUCUGCUGUUGAGGCAAUAUUUGCCAACUAAGACCUUCAUUGGAGCACCAGGGAUGAUGACAGCACGGACCAGGGGACUGCCGGGAAGCUAAUGCACAUUCAAACAACACAGAGUUUACACAUUUCUACAAAAAGAUUGAUAAACAUUUACAGCUUAAAAGGAGAAACAGAC